GCCUGAGGUUCGCCACUCGGCACGGGCUUCCCCGCGCCCGGCCUGGGAUGGAGACCGUGGCGCCCGCGGCCCCCUCUUCUCCCGCAGCUCCGCCCGCAGAGCUCGAUGGCGGCGGCCGCGCGGAGGACCCGCCUCAGGUCUCCCGUGAGAAGGGCAUUUCCCAGGCAGGACUCCUAGGGCAGAUCCAUCGUUCAUGAAGAGCCACCCCUGUGAAAUGUGUGGCCUCACAGACAAUUGGCACUUGGAUGAGCAGCAGCCAACACAUGACAGGCAGAAACUGCACAGAUUUGUAGAAAUGGAAUUGCUGCAAAAAAGUACUGCAUGUUCAUGCUGGAUAUGACAAGCUUCCUUUUCUACAGUUUGUUCCAGUUUGUACUCAAACCAACAGGAAAUCAUGACCGCAGGGAUGUGGCAUUGUGCUCAGGACGAACGAGGGCAGUCUCUUCC
rnacentral:lncRNA from 1 species